rnacentral:rRNA from 1 species
UACAGAGGUCCCGAGCGUUGUUCGGAUUCACUGGGCGUAAAGGGUGCGUAGGUGGCAGGGUAAGUCGGAUGUGAAAGCUCGGAGCUCAACUCCGAAAUGGCAUUGGAAACUACCCAGCUCGAGGGUUGGAGGGGGGACUGGAAUGCUUGGUGUAGCAGUGAAAUGCGUAGAUAUCAAGCGGAACACCAGUGGCGAAGGCGAGUCCCUGGACAACUCCUGACACUGAGGCACGAAAGCUAGGGGAGCAAACAGGAUUAGAACCGUACGU